CGCAGCCGCGGUAAUUCCAGCUCCAAUAGCGUAUAUUAAAGUUGUUGCAGUUAAAAAGCUCGUAGUUGAAUUUCGGGGUUAGUAGGUUGGUCAUGCCUCUGGUAUGUACUGGUCUCACUGAUUCCUCCUUCCUGAUGAGCCGUAAUGCCAUUAAUUUGGUGUUGCGGGGAAUUUGGACUGUUACUUUGAAAAAUUAGAGUGUUUAAAGCAAGCUAACGCUUGAAUACAUUAGCAUGGAAUAAUGAAAUAGGACGUUCGAUCCUAUUUUGUUGGUUUCUAGGAUUGACGUAAUGAUUAAUAGGGAUAGUUGGGGGCAUUAGUAUUCAAUUGUCAGAGGUGAAAUUCUUGGAUUUAUUGAAGACUAACUACUGCGAAAGCAUUUGCCAAGGAUGUUUUCAUUAAUCAAGAACGAAAGUUAGGGGAUUGAAGACGAUCAGAUACCGUCGUAGUCUUAACCAUAAACUAUGCCGACUAGGGAUCGGAUGAUGUUAAUUUUUAAUGACUCAUUCGGCGCCUUACG
rnacentral:misc_RNA from 1 species